UACGGAGGGGACUAGCGUUGUUCGGAAUUACUGGGCGUAAAGCGUGCGUAGACGGUUAUUUAAGUCAGGUGUGAAAGCCCCGGGCUCAACCUGGGAAUUGCAUUUGAGACUGAAUAGCUAGGGUGCGGAAGAGGGAAGCGGAAUUUCCGGUGUAGCGGUGAAAUGCGUAGAUAUCGGAAGGAACAUCAGUGGCGAAAGCGGCUUCCUGGACCAGUACCGACGUUCAGGCACGAAAGCGUGGGGAGCAAACAGG
rnacentral:rRNA from 1 species